AUUGAACGCUGGCGGCAUGCCUUACACAUGCAAGUCGAACGGUAACGGGCCUUCGGGUGCCGACGAGUGGCGAACGGGUGCGUAAUACAUCGGAACGUGCCCGAUCGUGGGGGAUAACGAGGCGAAAGCUUUGCUAAUACCGCAUACGAUCUACGGAUGACAGCAGGGGACCGCAAGGCCUUGCGCGGACGGAGCGGCCGAUGGCAGAUUGGGUAGUUGGUGGGAUAAAAGCUUACCAAGCCGACGAUCUGUAGCUGGUCUGAGAGGAUGAUCAGCCACACUGGGACUGAGACACGGCCCAGACUCCUACGGGAGGCAGCAGUGGGGAAUUUUGGACAAUGGGCGCAAGCCUGAUCCAGCCAUGCCGCGUGCAGGAUGAAGGCCUUCGGGUUGUAAACUGCUUUUGUACGGAACGAAAAGCAUUCUUUUAAUACAGGAGGGUCAUGACGGUACCGUAAGAAUAAGCACCGGCUAACUACGUG
rnacentral:rRNA from 1 species